rnacentral:lncRNA from 1 species
UGGGGUGUAAAUGUCUUUUUUGAAACAUUAGAGGUGUAUUUGUCAUUUCAUGUUUUUAUAUUCAUGUCAAUAUACGGAAACAUGUAGAGAUGUACAAAAAUAUAAAACUCUCAUUAUAAGUGGAAAUGUUCAUCAGAAUUCAUUAGAGUCGUGUUUGAUAUUAAGGUUGGAUAGUUGUAAUUUAAAGAUCACAAUUAAAGAUGGCCAAUGGGCAGGGCGGCACGUGGCACGGCACGGGCACGGCACGUGUCCGUAUGGCACGGCACGACACGAGCACGUUUCGGUGAGGCACGAGGCACGAGGCACGGCACGGCACGCACGUGGGCCGUGCCGGGCUUAGAAUUUUAGGCACGCGGGCCUUAAAGCACAGCACGAUAAGAGAUGGGCCAAAGCACGGCACGCGAAAAAGCACGUAAUAAGCACGGUUCAUUAGUGGGCUAGCACGCGGCCCGUGAGCCAUUAAUAGCACGUGGGCCAAAAUAUAUCUAAGUAAAUUUUUUUAACAAAAAGUAAAUAUAAAAUGUUAUGAAAUUAAAGUACAAUAUCUUGAAAUUAAAUGUUUUAAUAUAU